GUCUCAAGACUAAGCCAUGCAUGUCCAAGUAUGAACGCUUCGUACUGUGAAACUGCGAAUGGCUCAUUAAAUCAGUUAUAGUUUAUUUGAUGGUUGCUUGCUACAUGGAUAACCGUGGUAAUUCUAGAGCUAAUACAUGCACAGAGUCCCGACUUCCGGGAGGGACGUAUUUAUUAGAUCCAAAACCAGCGCGGGUCUCCCUUCGGGGUGCCCGGUCCCUGGGCGAUUCAUGAUAACUGCUCGAAUCGCACGGCCCUGGCGCCGGCGAUGGUCCAUUCAAAUUUCUGCCCUAUCAACUUUCGAUGGUACGGUAGUGGCCUACCAUGGUUGCAACGGGUGACGGAGAAUUAGGGUUCGAUUCCGGAGAGGGAGCCUGAGAAACGGCUACCACAUCCAAGGAAGGCAGCAGGCGCGCAAAUUACCCAAUCCCGACUCGGGGAGGUAGUGACAAUAAAUAACAAUGCCGGGCUCUCGUAGUCUGGCAAUUGGAAUGAGUCCAAUCUAAACCCCUUAACGAGGAACAAUUGGAGGGCAAGUCUGGUGCCAGCAGCCGCGGUAAUUCCAGCUCCAAUAGCGUAUAUUAAAGUUGUUGCAGUUAAAAAGCUCGUAGUUGGAUUUCGGGGCGGCCCGGCCGGUCCGCCGCGAGGCGAGCACUGGUCGGGCGCCCUUCCUCUCGAAGGCUUCGACUGCUCUUGAUUGCGGUGGUCGAGGAGUUCGGGACGUUUACUUUGAAAAAAUUAGAGUGUUCAAGGCAGGCCGUCGCCUGAAUACAUUAGCAUGGAAUAAUGGAAGAGGACCUCGGUCCUAUUUUGUUGGUUUCCAGGGCCGAAGUAAUGAUUAAGAGGGACAGUUGGGGGCAUUCGUAUUCAAUUGUCAGAGGUGAAAUUCUCGGAUUUAUGGAAGACGAACAAGUGCGAAAGCAUUUGCCAAGGAUGUUUUCAUUAAUCAAGAACGAAAGUUGGGGGUUCGA
rnacentral:rRNA from 1 species